CACCGCGGUUAGACGAGAGGCCCUAGUUGAUAUUACAACGGCGUAAAGGGUGGUUAAGGAUAAACAAAAAUAAAGUCAAAUGGCCCCUUGGCCGUCAUACGCUUCUAGGCAUCCGAAGCCCUAAUACGAAAGUAACUUUAAUAAACCCACCUGACCCCACGAAAGCUGAGAAA
rnacentral:rRNA from 1 species